rnacentral:rRNA from 1 species
UACAGAGGUGGCAAGCGUUGUUCGGAUUUACUGGGCGUAAAGGGUGCGUAGGUGGUAUUGUAUGUCGGAUGUGAAAUCUCACCGCUCAACGGUGAAAUGGCAUUCGAAACUGCGAUACUUGAGUGCAGGAGAGGAGAGCGGAAUUCUUGGUGUAGCGGUGGAAUGCGUUGAGAUCAAGAAGAACACCGGUGGCGUAGGCGGCUCUCUGGUAUGCAACUGACACUGAGGCACGAAAGUUGGGGGAGCAAACAGGAUUAGAUACCCUGGUAGUCCCAACCUUAAACGGUGUACAUUUGGUGUGGGGAGAUUGACCCUCUCCGUGCCGGAGCUAACGCGUUAAAUGUACCGCCUGGGGAGUACGGUCGCAAGAUUAAAACUCAAAGAAAUUGACGGGGGCCCGCACAAGCGGAGGAGCAUGUGGCUUAAUUCGAUGCAACGCGAAGAACCUUACCAGGGCUUGACAUGCAGCUGCACAUCCGCCGAAAAGUGGAUUCCUUCGAGGGUGCUGCACAGGUGCUGCAUGGCU